rnacentral:snoRNA from 1 species
GCGUGGGUUUGGAUUUAUGGCAGGCCUGUUCCCCUGGGCCUCUCCUAGUGUCCCAAGCCAGAGCAACUGUGGCCCUGAACCAUUGUCUGGCCUCUGCCCAUAGGCUGCAGGCACUGAAGCAGGUUGCACAGUG